rnacentral:rRNA from 1 species
AGUGAACGCUGGCGGUAGGCCUAACACAUGCAAGUCGAACGGCAGCACAGUAAGAGCUUGCUCUUACGGGUGGCGAGUGGCGGACGGGUGAGGAAUACAUCGGAAUCUACUUUUUCGUGGGGGAUAACGUAGGGAAACUUACGCUAAUACCGCAUACGACCUACGGGUGAAAGCAGGGGGUCUUCGGACCUUGCGCGAUUGAAUGAGCCGAUGUCGGAUUAGCUAGUUGGCGGGGUAAAGGCCCACCAAGGCGACGAUCCGUAGCUGGUCUGAGAGGAUGAUCAGCCACACUGGAACUGAGGCACGGUCCAGACUCCUACGGGAGGCAGCAGUGGGGAAUAUUGGACAAUGGGCACAAGCCUGAUCCAGCCAUACCGCGUGGGUGAAGAAGGCCUUCGGGUUGUAAAGCCCUUUUGUUGGGAAAGAAAAGCAGCAGGUUAAUACCCCGCUGUUCUGACGGUACCCAAAGAAUAAGCACCGGCUAACUUCGUG